rnacentral:tRNA from 1 species
ACUAGCCUUUUAAGCUAGAGAAAGAGGACUACUAACCCUCCCUAAUGA